UACAGAGGGUGCGAGCGUUGUCCGGAAUCACUGGGCGUAAAGCGCACGUAGGCGGACUCUUAAGUCAGGGGUGAAAUCCUGGAGCUCAACUCCAGAACUGCCUUUGAUACUGAGAGCCUUGAGUCCGGAAGAGGUAAGUGGAACUGCGAGUGUAGAGGUGAAAUUCGUAGAUAUUCGCAAGAACACCAGUGGCGAAGGCGGCUUACUGGUCCGGUACUGACGCUGAGGUGCGAAAGCGUGGGGGGCAAACAGG
rnacentral:rRNA from 1 species